rnacentral:lncRNA from 1 species
AAAUUUUUCGUAUGCUAAUAUCCACGCCAUUUUUAUGAAUUCGGGUGACGGGCUCUGAAGAGCAAAAUUUUUGUCAUCCCAUCAGAAAUAACCUAAUAAACAAUAGUCAUUGAUUUACCAUGGUCGUUCCUCAUUUUUCGGCAUUUUAGGUAUAAAAUAAGAAUUUAGGAUGAUUUUCGUGUUUUGGUAUGAUAAUAUCCACGCCAUCUUAAUGAAUACGGGAGAUGGGCUUUGAAUCGCCUAAAGUUUUUAGGCCCAUAAGAAACAACCUAAUUAACAAUAGUCAUCGCUUCGCCAUGAUCGUUCCUCAAUUUUUGGUAAUUUAGGGCCAUAAAAUAGGAAAUCAGAACGAUUUUAAAUUUUCCAUGUGCUAAUAUCCACACUAUCUUCAUGAAUUCUGGCGUUGGUCUCCGAUUUGCCAAAUUUUUGUUCAUCGAUCAGAAACGAUCUAAUAAAAUAUAGUCAUCACUUUUCCAUGAUUGUUCCUCGUUUGUUGGCAUUUUAGGACCAUAAAACAUGAAUUUAGGAGGAUUUCUUAUUUUUCGUGUGCUAAUGUCCAUGUCAUCUUAUGAAUUCGGGCAACGAGCUCCAAAUCACAUAAAAAAAAUCGGACCCACUAGAAACGGCCUAAUGAAUAAUGGUCAUCACUUCACCAUGCGUGUUUCUCAUUUCUUGGCAUUUUAUGGCCAAAAACUAGGAAUUCAAGAUGAUUUCUAAUUUUUCAUGUGCAUCCUCAUGAAUUCGAAAAACGGAUUGUGAAUCGCCUAAAAUUUUGUGGGCCCAUCAUAAAUGACCUAAUGAACAAUUUUCAUUGCUUUGCCAUGACUGUUCCUCGUUUGUUGGAAUUUUAGGGAUAUAAAAUUAGAAUUCAGGAUUAUUUUCAACUUUUCGUGUGCUAAUGUCCACGUCAUCUUCAACUAGGCGAUGGGAUCCGAAAUACCUAAAAGAUUAUGGGUCCAUCAGAAAUGACCCGAUGAACAAUAGUCAUUGUUUCUACAUGAAUGUUUCUUAUUUUUUGUCGUUUUAGGGCCAUAAAAUAAGAAUUCUUGAUGAUUUCUAAUUUUCGUAUGCUAAUGUCCACACCAUCUUCAUGAAUUAGGGCAGCAGACUGUGAAUCGUCUAAAAUUUUAUGAGCCCAUAAGAAACAACCUAAUGAAUAAUAGCCACUGUUCGUCAUGACCAUUCCUUGUUUAUUUGCAUUUUAGAGCCAUAAAAUUGGAAUUCAUGAUGAUUUCCAACUUUUCAUGUGCUUAUGUUUAAUUCAUCUUUAUGAAUUCGGGUGAGGGGCUCAGAAUUGCCUAAACUUUUGUGGGCCAAUCAAAAACGAUCUAAUAAAUAAUAGUCAUCGCUUGGCCAUGUACUAAUACACACGAAAAACGUAAAUAUAAUCAUAAAUUUGUUUUGCAUGACCCUAAAAUACUAAAAAAUGAACCCGAAAGUCGUGGAGAAAUAUUGGUCACUAGUUCUUUUCCUAUUGACCUACGAAAUUUCAGGCCAAUUGGAGUUCGUUAAAAAAUAAUUACAGAAUCAUGCACUAAUACACAUGAAAAAAUAGUUAUAGUUUGUGUUGCACGACCCUAAAAUGCCAUAAAAUGAACCCGAAAGUCAUGGUAAAGCAAUCACUAUUGCUCACUAGGUCAUUUAUUAUGGACUUACAAAGUUCCAAGCUAACCGGAUUCCAUCAAAAAUAAUUUUACUAAAUUAUUACGUAAUAAUAUACACGAAAAAGUGAUUAUAAUCACAUAUUUGUGUUGCAUGACCUUAAAACACCAAUAAAAUGAACCCAAAAGUCAUGGAUAAGCGAUAAGUAUUGGUCACUAGGCCGUUUUUUAUGGACCUACGGAAUUUCAGGCUAAUUAGAGUUUGUCAAAAAAAUUCUACAGAAUCAACAUGUAUUAAAAUACAUACAAAAAAGUUGAUAUAAUCAUAAAUUUGUGUUGUAAGACCCUGAAACGCCAUAAAAUGAACCUGAAAGUCAUUGUAUAGCAAUUAAUAUUGGUCACUAGGACGUUUCUUAUAGACUUACGAAAUAUCAGGACAAUCGGAGUCCGUCAAAAAAAUUCUGCAGAAUUAACAUCUAUUGAUAAACAUGAAAAAAAUCGAUAUAAUAAAUUUGUAUUGCAUGAUCCUAAAACAUCAUAAAAUAAACCUGAAAGUCAUGGGAAGCAAUUAGUAUCGGUCAUGAAACCAUUUCCUAUGGACCUACAAAAUUUCAAACCAAUCGGAAUCCGUUAAAUAUUUUAUAUAGAAUCAUUAUGUAUUAAUAUACAUGAAAAAGUAGAUAUAAUCAUAAAUAUGUAUUACAUGACCCCAAAAUACCAAAAACUAAACCGGAAAGUCAUGGCGAAGUGAUAGGUAUUAGUCACUAGGACUUUUCAUAUGGACCUAUGAAAUUUUAGGCUAGUCGGAUUGCGUCAAUUUUUUUUUUACAAAAUUAGCAUUUACUAAUACACACGAAAUAGUGGUUUUAGUCACAAAUUUGUGUUGCAUGACCCUGAAACGCCAUAAAAUAAACCCGAAAGUCAUGGUGAGGCGAUAAUUAUUGUUCACUAGGGUGUUUCCUAUGGACCUAUAAAAUUUAAGGCCAAUCAGAGUUCGCCAAAAAAAAUCUACAGAAUCAGCAUGUAUUAAUACAUAAAAAAAAGUGGUUAUAAUCACAAACUUAUGUUGCAUGACCCUAAAACGCCAAAAAAUAAACCCGAAAGUUAUGGCGAAGCAAUUGCUAUUAGUCACUAGCUCAUUUUCUAUGAACAUACAAAAUUCAGGCCAAUCAGAUUUCGUCAAUUUUUUUUACAAAAUCAGCAUGUCCUAUUAUACAUGAAAAAGUGAUUAUAAUCACAAAUUUGUGUGCAUGACCUUGAAACACCACAAAGUAAACCCGAAAAUUAUGGGGAAGCAAUUAGUAUUGGUCACUAGGCCAUUUUUUAUGGACCUACAAAAUUUUAGGCUAAUUGGAGUCUGUUAAUAAAUUUUACAGAAUCGGCAUGUACUAAUACACAAGAAAAAAUGAAUUAAUCACAAAUUUAUGUUACAAGACCUUGAAACGCCAUAAAAUGAAUCCAAAAGUCAAGGUGUAGCAAUUAAUAUUGAUCACUAGGUCAUUUUCUAUGGACAUACGAAAUUUCAGGUCAAUCGGAGUCCGUCAAAAAAAAAUUCGUAAUGUACUAAUAUACACGAAAAUAAAUAGUCACAAAUUUGUAUUGUAUGACCCUGAAAUACCAUAAAAUGAACCCGAAAGUCAUGAAGAAGCGAUAAGUAUUGGUCACUAUGCCGUUUCUUAUGGACCUACGAAAUUUCAGGCUAAUCGGAGCCCGUCAAAAAAAUUCUACAGAAUCAGCAUAUACUAAUACACACCAAAAGGUGAAUAUAAUCACAAAUUUGUGUUGCAUGAUCCUGAAACACCAUAAAAUGAACCUUAAAGUCAUGAAGAAUCAAUUUGUAUUGGUCACUAGGUCGUUUCCUUUGGACCUACAAAAUUUUAGACUAAUCGGAGUCCAUCAAAUUUUUUUUACAGAAUCAACACAUACUAAUAUAUAGAAAAAAGUGGAUAUAGUCAUAGAUUUGUGUUUCAUGACCCUGAAACAUCAUAAAAUGAACCCAAAAUUCAUGGCGAAACAAUUAUUGUUAUUCACUAGGCCUUUUCCUAUGAUCCUAUAAAAUUUCAGGCUAAUUCAGAAUCCGUUAAAAUAAUCUACAGAAUCAGAAUAUACUAAUACACAUGAAAAAUGGAUAUCACAAAUUUAUAUUGCAUAAUCCCGAGGCAACAUAAAAUGAAUCUGGAAGUCAUGGAAAAGCAAUUAGUAUUGGACAUUAUGUCGUUUCCUAUGGACCUAUAGAAUUUCAAGCCAAUCGAAGUUCAUUAAAUUUUUUUAGAAAGUGAGCAUGUGCUAAUAUACACGUAAAAGUAAAUAUAAUAAAAAAUAUGUGUUGUAUGACCUUGAAACACCAUAAAAUGAAACCGAAAGUCAUGGCGAAGCAAUUAGUACUGAUCAUUAGGUCGUUUGCUAUGGACCUACGAAUUUCAGGUAAAUCAGAGUCUGUCAAAAAAUAUUCUACAAAAUCAAUAUGUAGUAUACAUAUACAAAAAUUUGGAUAUAAUCAUAAAUUUGUAUUUCUUGAUCGUGAAACACCAUAAAAUGAACCCGAAAUUCAUGGAGAAUUAAUUCGUAUUGGUCAUUACGCCAUUUCCUAUGGACCUAUGAAAUUUCAAGACAAUCGGAAUGCGUCAAUUUUUUUUUUUACAAAAUCUGCAUGUACUGUGACAAACAAAAAAAUGGACAUAAUCACAAAUUUGUGUUGCAUGACGCUGUAAUAUCAUAAAAUGAACCUGAAAGUCAUGGCUUAGAAAUUAGUAUUGGUCUAGGCCAUUUCCUAUGAACGUACAAAAUUUCAGGCCAAUUGGAAUCCGUCAAAAAAUUCUAUAGAAUCAACAUAUAUUAAUACACAUUAAAAAUAGAUAUAAUCAUAAAUUUGUGUUGUAUGACCUUAAAACACAAAAAAAUAAAUUUAAAAGUCAUUGUGAAGCAAUAAAUAUCGGUCACUAGCCUAUUUUCUAUGUACCUACGAAAUUUCAGGCCAAUCAGAAUCCGUGAAAAAUUUCUAAAAUCAGCAUGUACUAAUAUAUACGAAAAAAGCGAAUAUAACCAUAAAUUCGUAUUGCAUGACUCCAAAACACCAUAAAAUGAACCCGAAAGUCAUGGUGAAGUAUUGAGUAUUGGUCACUAAGUUGUUUUCUAUGGACCUACUAAAGUUCAGGCCAAUUCGUCAAAAAACUUCUACUAAAUUAGCAUGUACUAAUACACACUAAAAAUUGGAUAUAAUCAUAAAUUCGUAUUGCACGAUCCCAAAUUAUCAUUAAAUGAACCCAAAACGCCAAAAAUCGAUAUUAGUUAUGGCGAAGCGAUAAGUAUUUGUCACUAGGCCGAUUUCUAUUAACCUACAAAAUUUCAGGCUAAUCGAAGUCCGUCAAAAAGAAUUCUACAAAAUCAGCAUAUACUAAUAUACAUAAAAAAGUGAAUAAUUAUAAAUUUGUAUUGCAUGACCCCAAAAAUCUUGGGAAAGCAAGGAGUAUUGCUCACUAGGUCAUUUCCUAUGGAUGUACAAAAGCCAAUCGCAGUCCAACAAAAAGUUUCUACAAAAUCAACAUGUUACUCAUACAUAUAAAAAAGUGGAUAUAAUUAAAAAUUCAUGUUUCAUGACCCCAAAGCGUCAUUAAAUGAACCCGAAGCGCUAAAGAAAUGAUGUUAGUCGUGGUGAAGCGAUGAUUAUUAUUGUUCAUUAGGCCGUUUUCUAUGGACCUACAAAAUUUCAGGCCAAUCGAAGUCCGUCAAAAAUUCUACAGAAUCAGCAUCUACUAAUACACACAAAAAAGUGGGUAUAAUAAUCAAUUUCUUUUGCUAGAAUCCAAAAUACCAAAAAAAAAAAAAAUCCGAAUGUUUUGGCGAACCGAUAAGUAUUAGUCACUAGGCCAUUUCCUAUGGACCUACGAAGUUUCAGGCCAAUCGUCCAUGAAAACAAUCAUACAGAAUUAGUAUGUACUAAUACACACGAAAAGUGGAUAUACUUAUAAUUUUUUACAGCAACUAAGAAGAAAAAGAAGAAAAAGCCUGAAAUUGUCUGUACUAAUUAAACAUUUUUUAAAAAGUGGAUACAAGUUAUAGGUCCUAGAAACAUCCUCUUUACCUUCUUUAAGUAGGGUUAAGGUUUCCAUAUAUUUUACCUUCCCAAGACCUUAUUACUGAUAUUGCACUUUAUUGUUAGGUACAAAUUAAAUAGAGCGACCAAAUAAGAUAUCCCGUCAAUUUUUUACGGUACUUUUUAUGACUAGUAACUCCGUCCUCGAUGAGAUUUGUGAAUAUUGUAUGGACUAGAUUGUUCGGUUCAAUCAACAAUGUGUCCAAAAUUCCAUGGUCCUACUUAUCUCAUUUUGACGAUUUUUCUCUUGUUUGAUAUCUACAUCUAAAGUUACAAUCUUCAAAUUUUACUGUCUACCUCCUAAAUAUCUUACUUGGGUUAAUAUACGAUAGCAUCUUUCGAGGCGGAACUAGACGAUUACCUAUGUGUUCGGUAAAAUUUAAUAACUUUAGUUUAAAUUUAAUAUUUGUAUUAAAAAGUUCUUUAAAUAUGUACAAAAAUAUUUCCAUAAAGUUUCUCUUAUAACACACACAAACAAACGAUUUCAAUAAAGUAAAUUAGACAAGAUUAAUAAAGAUUGAAAAAUAAGUCCACUUAAAGAUAAAAAUUUACUUGGUUCUUCACUUCUUUGCAACAAAUGACAUUGAUACAAUAAUACACUGAAAUAAUUUCAUAAAUAAAUCGCUAUUCAAAAAUAGCACAAUCCACAAAGAUACAAUUUUGAGGGAAGGGGAAGAGAAAAUAAAUCAAGAAGCUCGACAUCCUCUCAUGUCGAUCCAUGCAAUUACUCCUUCAAAUCUUAGCUUGAAACCUGUAAUUUAGACAUAAUUUAUGAUUAAUGAGUUUAAGUUCCUUAUCUAAAAAUUUUAUUUAAAAAAAAACAACAAAAAAAGAAUAUUGCCGACAAUUACUUCACAAAAAAUCUUAAAAUUAUAAGGUUACUACUACUCAGACCUCUACAUUAUUAAUGGGAAAAUGAUACUGUAUAGCCACUCUCAAAAUAAUAGCCAAACAAAUGUAUAGUUUUUGUAUAUAUAUAUAUAUACAUUCUAUAUGUUAUAUACAAAAAUUAUACAAAUUUUAUACACUUUAUCAGCUACUGAAUAUAAAUAAUUUUUGGCACGGAUUAAAGUGAUAAUACCCCUACGUUAAUUCACCCUAAUAUUAAGAUCCACUUGACCGAAAAAUCUAGCUUCUAAUCUAGUUAUAAAUGAAGAAAAUAAUAACUAUCCUAGUCCCAAUGGUCUUGGUUUUGUAAAUUGACCUACAAUACAAUAAUAGGUAAUAACUAUUAUAUAAACUAUAAUGUCAGAGUAAAAAUCUACUACCCCUCCGUUCACUUUUAUUUGGCAUGUAUACUAAAAAUAAAUUUUCAUUUUUACUUGUCACCUUUACGCAUAUCAAGAGAAGACAAAUUUUUUUCCUGUUAUACCCACAGUAUUUAUUACUCAUUUCAAAUCAUUUUCUCAAAUCCAAUAAAAUAUGCAUCAAUUAAUAUGGGUAUCAUAGUAAAUUAUGCAUUUCAUUUAUUAUUUCUUAAGGGGCGUGAAAAAUCAAAAUAUGCCAAGUAAAAGUGAACGGAAGAAGUACUAAUCAAUCAAUAUGCAUUAAUAGUGUAAUUCUUUUACACUGUCAAGGCAUAAAUAAGUUAAAACCUUGUACUAUAUCGAAUAGUACUAACGUACAACAAUCAUUCUACAUGAUUUUCUUUUUUCUUUUUUUUUUGGCCAAAAUGUUUUUCCACUGGCAUUACCAAUUUUUUAUUAAAAAGUCGAGUUAUGCAAUCAACUUUUUCCUCAAAAUAGGAACAAAAGCAAACUAGCAUACAAUGCAGCCAGAAGUUUUUAAGGUGAGGUUAUGGGAAAAUUAAAGGAUUUCACUUACGAGUUUAACUUAUAUACUAAUAAUGUAAUCAUGAUUUUCUAUACUAUUAAUGUAUUUUAACUUGUCAUAAUAGGUCAUUACUUUGUUAUAUAGAUAAUUUUAACCCGAUAAUGUUAAAACGUUAUAUACUGUCAACGUAGAUAAGUUAAGCUUUAUGAAAAAAAGGUAUAUAUACUUAACUUAAAUCUAGAGAGAGCAAGUGUAGCCAGGUGGUGGAGUCUUUCCACAGGUAACAAGGAGCUGAAGAGCAAGAGGGACAAAGAUUUUUAGGUUAAGAAGCUUGACUUUAAGUGUUGUACAAAGGCAAGCAGCAGCUUCAAGUUCAACAAGUCCAUGUAAAAUUGGACAACAUUCAUUGACAGCAGGGUCACCAAUUCCAAUAUGAACUAGACCACCAAGAAGAUCUACACAAGCUCCAAGUUUUAGUGUGUCAAUUGGGCAUGUUGCCUUUGUUGUUGGUGGUGGAGGGCAUGGUUUUCCUUUAGGGGAUGGUGUAAUAACUGGUGGAACUGUCACGGGUGGAAUUCCGAUAGGUGGCAAGUUAAUAGGAGGUUUUACAAUAGGUGGUAAACCAAUUGGUGGCUUCAGAACUGGUGGAACUGUCACUGGUGGAAUUCCGAUAGGUGGCUUAAUAACGGGUGGAACGACGGGCGGCAAGUUGAUGGGAGGUUUUACAACUGGUGGAACUGUAACUGGUGGAAUUCCGAUAGGUGGCUUAAUAACUGGUGGAACAACUGGUGGCAAGUUGAUGGGAGGUUUUACAACUGGUGGAACUGUCACUGGUGGAAUUCCGAUGGGCGGCUUAAUAACUGGUGGAACAACAGGUGGCAAGUUGAUAGGUGGUUUUACAAUCGGUGGAAUUCCAAUGGGUGGCAAGUUGAUAGGGGGUUUAAUACUUGGAGAGGGAGUUUUGGGUUUUUUGGGUUUGUGAGAGGGUUUUCCACAAUAUCCACAACCAAGAAUGGGAGUGAAUGAAGAAAGGAAAAGCAUGGAAAUGAAAAGAAGACAUGUUAUUUUAGAUGACUCCAUUUUCCUAUGAGGAAAGAGGGAAUAGGUUGAGAUUUUGGUACAAAGAGUAUGGUGUUAUAUAGAUAUGAAAGUGAAUUGAUG